rnacentral:rRNA from 1 species
AGUGAACGCUGGCGGUAGGCCUAACACAUGCAAGUCGAACGGCAGCACAGUAAGAGCUUGCUCUUACGGGUGGCGAGUGGCGGAUGGGUGAGGAAUACAUCGGCAUCUACUUUUUCGUGGGGGAUAACGUAGGGAAACAUACGCUAAUACCGCAUACGACCUACGGGUGAAAGCAGGGGAUCUUCGGACCUUGCGCGACUGAAUGAGCCGAUGUCGGAUUAGCUAGUUGGCGGGGUAAAGGCACACCAAGGCAACGAUCCGUAGCUGGUCUGAGAGGAUGAUCAGCCACACUGGAACUGAGACACGGUCCAGACUCCUACGGGAGGCAGCAGUGGGGAAUAUUGGACAAUGGGCGCAAGCCUGAUCCAGCCAUACCGCGUGAGUGAAGAAGGCCUUCGGGUUGUAAAGCCCUGUUGUUGGGAAAGAAAAGCAGCAUGUUAAUACCCCGAUGUUCUGACGGUACCCAAAGAGUAAGCACCGGCUAACUUCGUG